rnacentral:piRNA from 1 species
UCCAGGUGUAGAGACCGUGGAUGGCUCCGU